rnacentral:rRNA from 1 species
AUUGAACGCUGGCGGCAUGCCUUACACAUGCAAGUCGAACGGCAGCGCGGGGGGUAACUCCUGGCGGCGAGUGGCGAACGGGUGAGUAACAUAUCGGAACGUGUCCUGGAGUGGGGGAUAACUAGUCGAAAGAUUAGCUAAUACCGCAUACGAUCUACGGAUGAAAGUGGGGGACCGCAAGGCCUCAUGCUCGUGGAGCGGCCGAUAUCUGAUUAGCUAGUUGGUGGGGUAAAGGCCCACCAAGGCUUCGAUCAGUAGCUGGUCUGAGAGGACGACCAGCCACACUGGGACUGAGACACGGCCCAGACUCCUACGGGAGGC